UGGAGGCAGCUGCAAGACCACAAUACAAUCCGGGACCCAACGACCCGGCACCGAGCACAUCCUCUUUGGUGCACAGUGCUCCGAUGCCAACGGCGCGCAAAAUGGGCCCAGCUAAAGACUCUAAAGCCCACCGGCACCGCCACACCUCGGGCCAUAGGGCGUCAGCCUCAGUUUGGCAGCGCUCUCCAUCUCCGGUGCCGGUAAAGAAGAAGAGGCCGGUGAGGGACCAAUUGCCCCCCUUGAAACCUAAGGGGCCGGCGGCGUCUGCGAGUGGCUUGGGACACACUGCCUCCGCCUCG